rnacentral:rRNA from 1 species
GAUGAACGCUGGCGGCGUGCCUAAUACAUGCAAGUCGAGCGAACGGACGAGAAGCUUGCUUCUCUGAUGUUAGCGGCGGACGGGUGAGUAACACGUGGAUAACCUACCUAUAAGACUGGGAUAACUUCGGGAAACCGGAGCUAAUACCGGAUGAUAUUUUGAACCGCAUGGUUCAAAAGUGAAAGACGGUCUUGCUGUCACUUAUAGAUGGAUCCGCGCUGCAUUAGCUAGUUGGUAAGGUAACGGCUUACCAAGGCAACGAUGCAUAGCCGAACUGCGAGGGUGAUCGGCCACACUGGAACUGAGACACGGUCCAGACUCCUACGGGAGGCAGCAGUAGGGAAUCUUCCGCAAUGGGCGAAAGCCUGACGGAGCAACGCCGCGUGAGUGAUGAAGGUCUUCGGAUCGUAAAACUCUGUUAUUAGGGAAGAACAUAUGUGUAAGUAACUGUGCACAUCUUGACGGUACCUAAUCAGAAAGCCACGGCUAACUACGU